GGAGACUCGCAAGGUUGGCGUGCUUAUCGGUCUUGAAAACCGUGAUGUCCGAAAGGGCGUGGGAGUUCGAUCCUCUCAGUCUCCGCCA
rnacentral:tRNA from 2 species